ACUGUGGAAAGGAGAAAGGUGAUGAGGUGCCACCCACUCUACACCUCACCAGCUCAGCAGAUUGCUCCUGUCCCUAGGUGAGGAUGGGCCCCUGUUGCUACGUGCGUGAGGAGGGGAGCGGGUCAGUGGGGUGGAAGGCAAGGAGCCUCGUUCUGAGAGCUAAGGGAGCACAGGAGCCUCUGCUAUGAGCUGCGUGGCUGGGCACAUUGAGCCACCCACUCUACCCUGCUCCGGGGAGGGGACAUGGCAGUGCUUUGUAAACUUUAAUACUAUAUGUGGAGAGUAGUCUGAGGCCAGCAUAAAGACAUUUGCCUGUAAUGCUGGAAAUACCCUGGGUCUUGCACACUCAUACAAGAGGCUGUGGAUGGAGCCUCCUGUGCCUAUUUGGGCCUCUCAGCCAUUCCUAGAGGUGUUGGUUCAUUCAUGCAGCAGGAUGUUACUGAUUAUUUAUGUGCCCAGCACUGAACCAGCAGGUACUAGAGGAAAUAAAUUAGCCUAAGCAUUGGCCCCUCCUCAAGGAUCUCACAAACUAUUGGUCCAAUAGGAGAAAGCCCAGAAUCCAGCUAAAUUCAUAAGGAAUUACCCUAUUCUUGCCUUGUAUGAUCUCUCCAGGUUGGCAUUCCAUAGCCGAGGUCUGGAAUCACUGGGUUUGCAGAGCAAGCCCUGGUGCCCACCAUGCCUGCAGCACACCCUGCAAGCCACCACCUGGCUUCAUCCUGGUCUGUUCCCAUACAGCACUGCUACUCAGCCCUUAUAAUAAGCAAAGUUCAUGUUUCUGAAUGUUGCCGAUGUGUUAGACACCAUGCACACCAUCUCAUGAAGCGCUCAUGCCCACCCCGUAAGAGUUUUCAGCCCCUGGCGCCUCACCUGGACUCCUCAGUUUCUACCCACUGGUACAUCUCCACGUGCCUCCGCAGUUUCACAGCCGGAAGAUGAACCCCAUAGUUUGGAUCAGACAAAAGCUUCAAACAGAAUCAAAGAAACCAAAAAAA